UUUUACUCUCAAAGAAGACAAGGACCAGUUCUAGUUAGGCUUGAUCGAGUUAAGGGGUCUUUAGGCACUAAAAGAAGGCGCUGGAACUGCUGUCUCAUUUACUCGCCGAUUUAGUUUAAAAAGAGAAUCAUUCUGAGGCUCUAUCACAUGAUACUAGUAGUUCUUCUGCUAUGCUCAAUACUUCAGGUAUGGGUGAUGGGGACGAAGAGCAGCCAUUUUGUGCAUAGAUAUUCGAUCGGCUAUUGGGAAACAUACAUUAGUGUGAGUGUGGUAUGGUUGACUGAAGGAUGAUCAGUUACAGACAGGUAUUCUUUGUUAGUAUUAUUAUUAUUAUUACUAUUAUUAUCAACAUCAUCAAAACUAUUCAUAAUUUUAGAUCGUCAUGUGAUUUGUGCUGAAUUUUGAUUCAAUGCCAGUUGUGAGUCCUGUAAUCGUAACUCAAGUUUAUUAGGCACUAGAUACAGAAGCUCGUACUAGCAUUUUUCUUGUGCUGGUAUAUUACCAUCACAGUACUGCCAUAUUUUUGUCGGCAUCACUGGGCACAGUUGGGAAGAGGU